GUGGGAGUCCAGGGUGUUCCCCUGGCCUCCUUGGGGGUCUCAAAACUCCUGAAUGAGACCCAGGUGUCUCAGGGGCUGAAUUUAGCUCCUUGGAACGAUUUACCAACAUUGAGAGAAGAAAUGCAAGCUGCAAAAAUAAAUAGAGUGUAAAUUAGGUUAUUAGAAUGUAGAAUAAGUAGAUUUUUAGAAUGUUUAUAUUAAGGGGCUCGUGGUCAAGAUGGAGGAUUUGGGGCGUGGUAUGCUUCUUCCUCCUUCUUCUCCAUGCCAUCCAUGUUGAAGUGCCACCUUGGCAUCCUUUGAUUGGAUGGGGACAAAACUAGACAUUACAAUAAGGUUGAAUUGUAUUGGAAAAUAAUUGUAAAUACCUAGUACGUAAUUUAGACUAUAAAAGAUAAGUCCUGCCUCUGCCAGGCAGAUUCUGCCCUGGACGUCUGGCGAGCAGAGCGCUGUUCACUGGACAGAGCAUUCCUGAGAUAAGAAACAACAACCAACCAUGAAAACCUCUAAGAACAGCCUCCUGCAGUCUCUCAUCAGCGGGCAUUGGAAAGAGCUGAGUUCCAGACCACCUUUAUGUCCUCCUGAGGUGAUCUCAGGUCUAAGGAGACACCUCGUGCAGUGACAUUUGGCGUCCCCCUGGGUGGGCAGAGACACUUGGCGUCCCUCUGCGUGGGCCGCAGCCUACAAAGGUGGGAGCGGACCCUUGGACCCUGAAAACCGAGCUCCAGAAGAGGCACGCCUUGAAGAGGAGGAGAUUUCUGGCCCUUUGCCAAGAAAAGCCGAGUUCCAGAUGCGAGUCGGAGAGGAGGUAUCCUGGGAAUCCUCGCUCCUGUGCACUGCUGGUUGGUUUCAGGAACUUCUGAAUUGAUUUUGGACAAAUUGCUUUUGGCAUUUGCAGGCAGCUGCCCGGACAGAGGCGACCCGGAGAAAACUCGGGCACAGCAGCGUGAGGUCACCAGCCCGGGGCUCACUGAGGGAGGGGGGCACAGCAUCCCCGCUGCUCCCUCCCACCAUGUACAGGUCAAGGGCUGCAGAGAGGAGGAGGGAUGGGGGAUGGAGAGACGCCAAGAGCUGCUUUAUCUGCAUUGUGGAGGACAAACAGAGCAAGGGAACACGGUAAGAGACUCAGUUUUAUUUUCAGUUCCUGUAUGUUAAACUAAAGGUGUUUGUUUUUGUAUUGUUGUCAAAAAGAUGCUGAAAUUUCUAAGAGUGGUGAAGGUAUUUUAAUAGUAUUAGGUAUUUUAAUAAUUGAAGGUAUAAUAAGGUAUUUUUGUAUUUUAUUUGAAUACAUAUCAUCUAUAUUUAGUGAUUUGUUAUUACUCAGAUAUGAGUGGACAUUUAUCCAAAUGUCAACAUUGGGUUUUAAUUUUCCUAUAAUCAAUUGUUUUAAAGAAACCAGUUUCUAAGUAUUUGCAGUACUGUCAAUAUAAAUUAAUAGAUUUUGAAUUCUUAUAAGGAAGAAG
rnacentral:lncRNA from 12 species